GCCACUUCAGUCACUGGACUCCUGUUCAACUGGACUCCUGGAGCUUGGCCUGGUGCUUGGCUGUGGAACUCUGCAUCUGCAUCAGUUACUGGAAUAGGGUUCUAUGAUGACAGUUAGGGUAUUCACCAAUCUGAUUAGCAGGGUAGGCCACUUCAGUCACCCUCUCCAUUUUUGCUAGUAGUCUAAUCUUGGAUUGUCUUUGCAGGUCCCUGGGAAUUUCCUAGCACCAGGUUUCUCCCUUACCCCAUGAUGUCUCCCUCUAUCAAGGCCAGAUGAAGCAAGAACUAGUAUGAACAAGUGAAUGUUUAUGAUGUGAAGAUACAACAAAGGGAAAUAAACAGAUCAUCAAGAAACUGAAUCAGUGAUCUUGAUGACAAGUUUCUAGAUGUUUAGAUUAGACAAAAAUACAAAGGAAAUUCCAUCACCAUAAAGUCUGGGGCAUACAUAAAACUGCAACAUGGAACUUUUGAUACCAGCCCGCUUCUUUGGUUACCCAAACCACAUGAGAAUUGACAACAUUCUGAUUAAUGGGUUGAACAAGAUCCCAUGAACAAAAAGAAAGGGGUACCCGAUAUGAAGUGUGUACUGGGCCUAUCCAGCAGGCUGUUCUUAGAGUAAAUGGAGAGUUCAGCAGAGACGUGUGGCAGAAGCUGUAAUCAAUCACGUGGAGAGGGGCAGCUUCAGACCUCAGGCAAAGGAUAUGGAAGACACAAGGUAUAAUAUAAAAACAAAAAAAUUCAACUAGAAAGAGAACAGCUUCAACAUUAAAAGGGAGAAAGAGAAUGGGAACACUGUGUAAGUGGUUUCUGAAGCAGUAAACAGAAGUGGCUAAGACGAAAGUUGGAAAUGAAACUUUAAAAGACUUCUCAAUGUCAGGCAGUGGCGGUGCAUGCCUUCAACCCCAGCACUAAGGAGGAAGAGGCAGCUGGAGCUCUGAGGUCGAGGCCAGCCCAGUCUACAGAGCAAGU